rnacentral:rRNA from 1 species
UACGAAGGGGGCUAGCGUUGCUCGGAAUUACUGGGCGUAAAGGGCGAGUAGGUGGCCAUCUAAGUCAGACGUGAAAUCCCCCGGCUUAACCUGGGAACUGCGUCUGAUACUGGACGGCUAGAGUUUGGGAGAGGGAUGCAGAAUUCCAGGUGGAGCGGUGAAAUGCGUAGAGAUCUGGAAGAACACCAAAGGCGAAGGCAGCGUUCUGGGAAGCAACUGACGCUCAUGUGCGAAAGCUAGGGGAGCGAACGGG